rnacentral:rRNA from 1 species
AGCGAACGCUGGCGGCAGGCUUAACACAUGCAAGUCGAGCGGGCAUCCUUGUGGUGUCAGCGGCAGACGGGUGAGUAACGCGUGGGAACGUGCCCUUCGGUUCGGAAUAACUCAGGGAAACUUGAGCUAAUACCGGAUACGUGCGAGAGCAGAAAGGUUUAUCUGCCGAAGGAUCGGCCCGCGUCUGAUUAGCUAGUUGGUGAGGUUACGGCUCACCAAGGCGACGAUCAGUAGCUGGUCUGAGAGGAUGAUCAGCCACACUGGGACUGAGACACGGCCCAGACUCCUACGGGAGGCAGAGUGGGGAAUAUUGGACAAUGGGGGCAACCCUGAUCCAGCCAUGCCGCGUGAGUGAUGACGGCCUUAGGGUUGUAAAGCUCUUUUCUCCGGGACGAUAAUGACGGUACCGGAGGAAUAAGCCCCGGCUAACUUCGUG